UACGUAGGGUGCAAGCGUUGUCCGGAAUUAUUGGGCGUAAAGAGCUCGUAGGCGGUUUGUCGCGUCUGCUGUGAAAACCCGAGGCUCAACCUCGGGCCUGCAGUGGGUACGGGCAGACUAGAGUGCGGUAGGGGAGAUUGGAAUUCCUGGUGUAGCGGUGAAAUGCGCAGAUAUCAGGAAGAACACCCGUGGCUAAGGCGGCUCUCUAGUACGUGACUGACGCUGAGACGCGAAAGCGUGGGGAGCGAACAGG
rnacentral:rRNA from 1 species